CACCGGCCGCCCGAGUGGUGGCCACUAUUAUUGGGUCUAAAGCGUCCGUAGCCGGCCUAGUAAGUCUCUCGGGAAAUCCGGCGGCUUAACCGUCGGGCGUCCGAGAGAUACUGCUAGGCUUGGGACCGGGAGAGGUGAGAGGUACCUCAGGGGUAGGGGUGAAAUCUUGUGAUCCCUGAGGGACCACCAGUGGCGAAGGCGUCUCACUAGAACGGGUCCGACGGUCAGGGACGAAAGCUGGGGGCACGAACCGG
rnacentral:rRNA from 1 species